rnacentral:pre_miRNA from 1 species
AUAGUAUUCCCUCCGUCCGGAAUUACUUGUCGCAGAAAUGGAUGUAUCUAGACGUAUUUCUAGUUCCAGAUACAUUCAUGUCUAUCCAUUUCAGCAACAAUUCAGGGCGGAGGGAGUAGAAG